GACGAACGCUGGCGGCGUGCCUAAUACAUGCAAGUCGAACGCAGUGGGGACGGGUGAGUAACACGUGGGUAACCUCCCCAUCAGAGGGGAUAACACUUGGAACCAGGUGCUAACCCGAUAUUGAUGGUUGGCCCCGCGGUGCAUUAGCUCGUUUGUGAGGUAACGGCUCACCAAGGCCACGAUGCAUAGACAACCGUAGAGGGUGAUCGUACACAUUGGGACGGAGACACGGACCAGACGCCUACGGGAGGCAGCAGUAGGGAAUCUUCGGCAAUGGACGAAAGUCUGACCGAGCAACGCCGCGUGAGUGAAGAAGGGUUUCGGAUCGUAAAACUCUGUUGUUAGAGAAGCGGUAUCUAACCAGAAAGCCACGGCUAACUACGUGCCAGCAGCCGCGGUAAUAC
rnacentral:rRNA from 1 species